GAGAGAACAAGAGAGCAUUACAGCCUGGGAAAGGAACAGAGAUUUAAUAACACUCAUUGCUUGCACAGCAUUAAGGUAGCUAAGGGCUGUUUUCCCCUUAUUUAUAAGGGUCCUACAUCUCUUGAAAUGACAACUUGAGGCAAAGCUAACAUCCCUGCUGUCUGAAGUGUUGUUCACACCAUCUCAAGUGGAGGAUAACCAAGGUAUAAAGUGGCUUGGCUCUGAAAGUCUUGAAAAAAAGUCACAGAAAAUCCCUAUGUUUUGCAAAUUUGAUGCAUUCAGAGGCACAUGUGCACACGGCAGUGAAGAAAUCCUGCUUCACACAUGCCUGCCCAUCGACUGCUUUGGACUGAGUGACAAUAAGCCAGUUUUUUAAAGAAGAACAUGGGGCUGUUGGAGCUGGACCAGAGGAGGGCCACAAAAUGAUCAGAGGGCUGGAGCACCUCCCCUACGAGGACAGGUGGAGAGAAGUAGUAAUUGGACUGGAGCAAUUUCUGCAGCAGUGUCUGAGGCUGUUUCCCGCUUUGAACUCGCCACUCUCACUGACGUAUGUUAAUUUUAGUGAUUACACAAACGAGACUCCAGCCAAUAAAGUUGCUGUAGUCAAACAAAUGGCUCUGAUCCAAGUCUCUCUUGCUUUAUCUUCAGAACUGCUGCUUCACACCAUGAAUGAACUGCAAUCAAAUAAAAAUAUUCACCACAACAGCUUGUCAGCAGCACAACGUGCACUAUUGCUUCUUUUGCAGCAGGAUUUGGGAUUUCAUGGCGCUACAUUCUGCCUAUGAAUGCCUGAAAAACUCCUAUCUGGGUUAUAAAAGGACAUUUAUUCAAUGAGGAGGAAAAAAAAUAAAAGGAAACCGUUCAAUGUUUCAGUUUUCAUUCAGGUAAAAUCCCAGUUCAGAAGGGGCAGGGAAGCAUGUGCUGAAAAUGAAGUGUGUGUGCAAGUCCCACUGAAGCCAGGUAGAUUGUAAGCAUAUGCUGAAAUGCUUAUUUAAAUUGGGCCCUUAAUUAUUAUGUGCUAGGAGAUUGAACUAUGCUUCAUAUUAUUUUCAUACAUCUAUAUUUAUAGAUGUGUGGGUGGGUGGGUGUGCACGGAUAUAUGUAAGCUGUUCACUAAAGAACAUUAAAAAUGAAACAAAAAAAAAGUCCCCCUCAUCCCUUCUCCUGAAGUGACAGAUUAUUUGAUGGUUUUGACAAGGAAGACUUUAACAUUUGGUCGAAACAGCCAUUCAGAGAAAGAAAAAUGAGUCUGGCCUCACUUUUACUUGCUUUUCUGGCAGAGUUCGCAGCUUGAGCAUCACUGCUGCCAGGAUCCCAGCCCAUCCUUGCACAUCUCACUCUGGUGGAGUGCAUCUCAGCUCGCAUUUGUUCUGUGCUUUAACAACACAGCUGUCAUUUGAACUUAUACUCUUCUCCAAUUCCAUCAAUUGUUCCAAUCAUUUAUUUAUAUCAAGUUUAAAGUGUAUAUAAUGUUAAAGUACUGUUCACCUAACAGUGGAUUUUCUCCGUGAUAUAUCUCAGUCCCAUCAGUUUAUAAAGGGAGUAACUCUGCAGAGCUCUAUCUAAUGAUACCCCUGCCUGUACCCUUCUAAGACAAGCUGGUGUUCCUGAUAUUGUACAAAUGCAGGAAACUAAUGAAACGCAGAGGCUGGGGGGAGGAUUAAUAAAAGUUCUCAAAUCCGCAAGUUCAAAAACCGUUUUAUAGACCAUCAAAUGUAAAGUAAGGAAAAAAAUGAAUGCUUUGAGGAGGGAUUUGAUUUAGAGGGGGCAAGAUGUUUGGCUCCAAGCAAGAAGGAGCAGGCACAAGAGAAACAGUGUGGACUGUCCCAAGGAAGGGAUGGAAACGUAGUCCAGGAGAGCAGCCCACCAGUAGGAAAUGAGGGAAGGUGAAGCAGCUCCUGAGGGGUUUUGUAAGGCAGGAAAGUGGUUUUGAACUGAAUUCGGCACUGGAUAAGAAGGUGACAGGAGAUGGGAGCAAUAUGAAUGAAAAAUAGUUCAGCCACAAAAUUCAGCAUGCAUUAAAGUUUCAAGAAAA